AGGGUGAAUGCUGGCGGCGUGGAUAAGUCAUGCAAGUCAAGGGGGCCCGCAAGGGCAACCGGCAGACGAGGUAGUAACACGUAGGUAGAUCCCCCGAAGUCGGGCAUAGCCAGCCGAAAGGUUGGGUAAUUCCCGAUAGUCCUGUAAAGGUAAAGGUUUUUCGCUUCGGGAGUUGCCUGCGUAGUAUCAGCUAGUUGGUAGGGUAACGGCCUACCAAGGCUACGACGCUUAGGGGAGCUGAGAGGCUGACCCCCACCGAUGGAACUGCGACACGGUCCAUACUCCUACGGGAGGCUGCAGACGAGAAUAUUCCGCAAUGGACGAAAGUCUGACGGAGCGACGCCGCGUGAUGGAUGAAGUGCCUUGGUACGUAAACAUCUUUUAUCGGGGACGAAGUUUAUUGACGGUACCCGAUGAAUAAGGGGCUCCUAACUCUGUGCCAGCAGGAGCGGUAAUACAGAGGCCCCAAGCAUUACCCGGAAUCACUGGGCGUAAAGGGUGUCUAGGCGGUCAUAUUAGUCUCUCGUUAAAUGUCCGGGCUUAACCUGGUCACCGCGAGGGAAACGGUAUGACUCGAGGGCGUAAGAGGUGCACGGAACUCAUGGUGGAGGGGUGAAAUCCGUUGAUAUCAUGGGGAACACCAAAGGCGAAGGCAGUGCACUGGUACGUUCCUGACGCUCAAACACGAAAGCCAGGGUAGCGAACGGGAUUAGAUACCCCGGUAGUCCUGGCCCUCAACGUUGCUCGCUCGUUUUACGGAGUAUCGACCCUCUGUGAGACUAAGCUAACGCGGUAAGCGAGCCGCCUGGGUAGUACGAUCGCAAGAUUA
rnacentral:rRNA from 1 species